rnacentral:rRNA from 1 species
GUGGGUAGUUUGACUGGGGCGGUCUCCUCCUAAAGAGUAACGGAGGAGCACGAAGGUUGGCUAAUCCUGGUCGGACAUCAGGAGGUUAGUGCAAUGGCAUAAGCCAGCUUGACUGCGAGCGUGACGGCGCGAGCAGGUGCGAAAGCAGGUCAUAGUGAUCCGGUGGUUCUGAAUGGAAGGGCCAUCGCUCAACGGAUAAAAGGUACUCCGGGGAUAACAGGCUGAUACCGCCCAAGAGUUCAUAUCGACGGCGGUGUUUGGCACCUCGAUGUCGGCUCAUCACAUCCUGGGGCUGAAGUAGGUCCCAAGGGUAUGGCUGUUCGCCAUUUAAAGUGGUACGCGAGCUGGGUUUAGAACGUCGUGAGACAGUUCGGUCCCUAUCUGCCGUGGGCGCUGGAGAACUGAGGGGGGCUGCUCCUAGUACGAGAGGACCGGAGUGGACGCAUCACUGGUGUUCGGGUUGUCAUGCCAAUGGCACUGCCCGGUAGCUAAAUGCGGAAGAGAUAAGUGCUGAAAGCAUCUAAGCACGAAACUUGCCCCGAGAUGAGUUCUCCCUGAGACUUUAGGUCUCCUGAAGGAACGUUGAAGACGACGACGUUGAUAGGCCGGGUGUGUAAGCGCAGCGAUGCGU